rnacentral:rRNA from 1 species
UAUUGGUCAAUGGACGAGAGUCUGAACCAGCCAAGUAGCGUGAAGGAUGACUGCUCUAUGGGUUGUAAACUUCUUUUAUAUGGGAAUAAAAUGUUCCACGUGUGGGAUUUUGUAUGUCCCAUAUUAAUAAGGAACGGCUAACCCCGUGCCAGCAGCCGCGGUAAUACGGAGGAUCCGAGCGUUAUCCGGAUUUAUUGGGUUUAAAGGGAGCGUAGGUGGAUUGUUAAGUCAGUUGUGAAAGUUUGCGGCUCAACCGUAAAAUUGCAGUUGAAACUGGCAGUCUUGAGUACAGUAGAGGUGGGCGGAAUUCGUGGUGUAGCGGUGAAAUGCUUAGAUACCACGAAGAACUCCGAUUGCGAAGGCAGCUCACUGGACUGCAACUGGCACUGAGGCUCGAAAGUGUGGGUAUCAAACAGG